rnacentral:rRNA from 1 species
GGCCGCGGGAAUUCGAUUAGAGUUUGAUCCUGGCUCAGAAUCAACGCUGGCGGCGUGCCUAACACAUGCAAGUCGAACGAGAAAGUGGAGCAAUCCAUGAGUAAAGUGGCGACCGGGUGAGUAACACGUGACCAACCUACCCUCGAGUGGGGAACAACCUCGGGAAACCGGGGCUAAUACCGCAUAAUGUCUUUGGGGUGCAAUUCCCUGGGGAUCAAAGGAGCAAUUCGCUUGAGGAGGGGGUCGCGGCUGAUUAGCCAGUUGGCGGGGUAAUGGCCCACCAAGGCGAAGAUCGGUAGCCGGCCUGAGAGGGCGCACGGCCACACUGGAACUGAAACACGGUCCAGACUCCUACGGGAGGCAGCAGUGGGGAAUUUUGCGCAAUGGGGGAAACCCUGACGCAGCAACGCCGCGUGGAGGAUGAAGUCCUUUGGGACGUAAACUCCUUUCGACCGGGACGAUAAUGACGGUACCGGUGGAAGAAGCCCCGGCUAACUCUGUGCCAGCAGCCGCGGUAAUACAGGGGGGGCGAGCGUUGUUCGGAAUUAUUGGGCGUUAAGGGCGCGUAGGCGGUGCGGUAAGUCACCUGUGAAACCUCUGGGCUUACUCAAAUCCUGCAGGCGAAACUGCCGGGCUGGAGUGUGGGAAAAGUGCCUGAAAUCCCCGGGGUAACGGUGAAAUGGGUAGAUAUCGGGAGGGAACCCUGUGGCGAAAGCGGGGCACUGAACCCCAACGGAACCUGGGGGGCCGAACGGUAGGGGAGCCAACAGGGAGUUAAAGCCCGGGGAGCCCUACCCCCAAACUAUGGGUGCGUGGGUGUGUNGGGGCCCCNAGCCCGACUGCCCGACAGAAGUGUCUAGACA